rnacentral:rRNA from 1 species
GACGAACGCUGGCGGCGUGCCUAAUACAUGCAAGUGGGACGCAAGGGAACACACUGUGCUUGCACACCGUGUUUUCUUGAGUCGCGAACGGGUGAGUAACGCGUAGGUAACCUGCCUAUUAGCGGGGGAUAACUAUUGGAAACGAUAGCUAAUACCGCAUAAUAUUAAUUAUUGCAUGAUAAUUGAUUGAAAGAUGCAAGCGCAUCACUAGUAGAUGGACCUGCGUUGUAUUAGCUAGUUGGUAAGGUAAGAGCUUACCAAGGCGACGAUACAUAGCCGACCUGAGAGGGUGAUCGGCCACACUGGGACUGAGACACGGCCCAGACUCCUACGGGAGGCAGCAGUAGGGAAUCUUCGGCAAUGGACGAAAGUCUGACCGAGCAACGCCGCGUGAGUGAAGAAGGUUUUCGGAUCGUAAAGCUCUGUUGUAAGUCAAGAACGUGUGUGAGAGUGGAAAGUUCACACAG